GAUGAACGCUGGCGGCGUGCCUAAUACAUGCAAGUCGAGCGAACAGACGAGGAGCUUGCUCCUCUGACGUUAGCGGCGGACGGGUGAGUAACACGUGGAUAACCUACCUAUAAGACUGGGAUAACUUCGGGAAACCGGAGCUAAUACCGGAUAAUAUAUUGAACCGCAUGGUUCAAUAGUGAAAGACGGUUUUGCUGUCACUUAUAGAUGGAUCCGCGCCGCAUUAGCUAGUUGGUAAGGUAACGGCUUACCAAGGCAACGAUGCGUAGCCGACCUGAGAGAGUGAUCGGCCACACUGGAACUGAGACACGGUCCAGACUCCUACGGGAGGCAGCAGUAGGGAAUCUUCCGCAAUGGGCGAAAGCCUGACGGAGCAACGCCGCGUGAGUGAUGAAGGUCUUCGGAUCGUAAAACUCUGUUAUUAGGGAAGAACAAAUGUGUAAGUAACUAUGCACGUCCUGACGGUACCUAAUCAGAAAGCCACGGCUAACUACGUG
rnacentral:rRNA from 1 species